ACGUUGCUGACGUGCUUCCAAAGAGCUAAUUGGGUUGUUUUAAUAGGAAAACUCUACAACAUCACUAUCCAGGCUGGGAUUAUGGAAGAGAUGAAUCAGGUUCUUUAGAUAAUCUGUCAUCUUUGUAUCACUCUGAGGGAGGUAAGAGCUUGUAAUACUGGUGAGUACCUGGUACCUUGUAAGGCUGGUGUGGAAUGAGGUGUGUAGGUAGCAAGGGAUGGGGGACAUUGGUCUUGGCCAAUAGACGACCACUGGCAGGGCUCCAACAGGUCCCUGGCUGCUGUGGAACACUGCUUUGAUUCUGUUACUCAUUUGGUCACAAAGGUGUGCUGGAGUGCCAGAAUUCCUUAGAAGGAAGCACCCUAUGAAGCUGAGAUAGGCUGACAUUUAGGUCUAAAUGCUAUAUAUAUGUUCCCUAAAAGAUAUAUGUAGAUCCCUCAGUCUGACCAGUUGUUAGCACUGACUCCUGAAAAUAUCCAUCACAUAGGAGACACAAAGAUUCAGAGUCUUACUACAGACUUGAACAAGAAAACUUAUGUUCUGAAUGUGAAUUAAGGAGAAGUGGGUGUUUUGAGUGUGAGUUUUGGUGAUGGCCCAAAGGUGCAAACGCUGAUGAGAAAGCAGAGCCACAUCACUGCGAGCUUGGCAGGCAGGGAGCACCUGCCCUCAGCUGGGAGCCUGCUGUCAUCCAGAGUGGUCUGGGACAGAGUGAGCCAAGAGGGAAGCCAAAAAUUGUCUGGUUCUGCUUUUGCCUGCACCAGUUCAGCCUCCCCUGGCACAGGGUCAGAAUUGGAUGUGGUCAGGAAGCCAUCCUUUGCAAAUCUGCUGGAGUCCUUUGGAAAAGCCGUGGGAAAUGUGCACAGAGGAG